rnacentral:rRNA from 1 species
GAUGAACGCUAGCGGCAGGCUUAAUACAUGCAAGUCGAGGGGCAGCAUGACUGUAGCAAUACAGUUGAUGGCGACCGGCAAACGGGUGCGGAACACGUACAGAACCUUCCUUCGAGCGGGGAAUAGCCCAGAGAAAUUUGGAUUAAUACCCCAUAGUAUAUUAGAGUGGCAUCACUUUGAUAUUAAAGAUUUAUCACUUGAAGAUGGCUGUGCGGCUGAUUAGGUAGUUGGCAGGGUAACGGCCCACCAAGCCUUCGAUCAGUAACUGGUGUGAGAGCACGACCAGUCACACGGGCACUGAGACACGGGCCCGACUCCUACGGGAGGCAGCAGUAAGGAAUAUUGGUCAAUGGACGAAAGUCUGAACCAGCCAUGCCGCGUGGAGGAUGAAGGUCCUCUGGAUUGUAAACUUCUUUUAUAUGGGACGAAAAAAGGGUUUUCUAACUCGUCUGACGGUACCAUAUGAAUAAGCACCGGCUAACUCCGUGCCAGCAG